rnacentral:rRNA from 1 species
UACGUAGGGGGCAAGCGUUGUUCGGAAUUACUGGGCGUAAAGGGCGCGUAGGCGGCACGACAAGUCGGGAGUGAAAGCCCGGGGCUCAACCCCGGAAUGUCUCUCGAAACUGUCGAGCUAGAGUGCAGAAGAGGCAACUGGAAUUCCCAGUGUAGCGGUGAAAUGCGUAGAUAUUGGGAAGAACACCUGAGGCGAAGGCGGGUUGCUGGGCUGACACUGACGCUGAGGCGCGAAAGCGUGGGGAGCAAACAGG